AGUUGCAAAUAUCGUGAUGCCAUUGCAAGUUGGCUUGUCAUCCGGAGUUUGUGGUUGA
rnacentral:pre_miRNA from 1 species